rfam:Yersinia mollaretii ATCC 43969 contig00759, whole genome shotgun sequence.
GCAGGUGAAUGCAACGUCAAGCGAUGGGCGUUGUGCUCCAUAUUUGUAAUACUUUUAUUUUUGAAUUACUGCAUAGCACAUAAUUGUUACGAUGCCGAUGUUGUCUCAACAUCGGCAUUU